rnacentral:rRNA from 1 species
UACAGAGGUGGCAAGCGUUGUUCGGAAUUACUGGGCGUAAAGGGCGCGUAGGCGGCCCGGAAAGUGGGGUGUGAAAACCCGAGGCUCAACCUCGGGCGUGCACUCCAAACUCCCGGGCUCGAGGCAGGUAGGGGAGAUCGGAAUUCCUGGUGUAGCGGUGAAAUGCGCAGAGUAUCAGGAGGAACACCGGUGGCGAAGGCGGAUCUCUGGGCCUGAUCUGACGCUGAGGAGCGAAAGCGUGGGUAGCAAACAGG